AUGCGUCAGCUGCCAGGGUUUGUUGAUCCUGAUCAGCCGCAUCAUUUGUGUCGUCUUGACAAGGCUCUCUAUGGUCUGAAGCAGACCCCUCAUGCAUGGCAUGCGUGUCUUGGAGCUGCUCUUCGUGCGCAUGGUUUUGUGCCUUCUACAGCGGAUACAUCUCUGUUUAUUCUUCAGCGACCGGAGGUGACUAUAUACAUUCUGGUCUAUGUUGAUGAUAUCAUUCUUGUCAGUUCAUCUGCUUCUGCUACGGAUCGGCUUGUGUCCUUUCUCAGUGCUGAGUUUGCUGUUAAAGAUCUUGGGAGACUCCAUUACUUCCUGGGUCUAGAGGUGUUUCAUUCUCAUGGUGGUCUAACUCUUACUCAGAGGAAGUACUCUCAGGAUCUUCUACGUCGUGCUGGUAUGUUGCAAUGCAAGACCGCCGCGACUCCUAUGUCUGCCACAGACAAAUUGACGGCUUUUGAUGGUGAUUUGCUCUCUCCUGAGGAUGCCACAGAGUAUUGCAGUAUUGUUGGAGGGCUGCAGUACUUGCUCGUUACUCGCCCUGACAUAUCUUUUGCUGUUAACCGUGUGUGCCAGUACCUUCAUGCACCGCGUGCUCCUCACUGGUCUGCUGUUAAGCGCAUCUUGCGCUAUAUUCGUCACACUGGUUCAUAUGGUCUCCAUCUUCAGCCUGCACGUUCUGGACUGAUUUCAGCAUUUUCUAAUGCCGAUUGGGCUGGUAGUCCUGAUGAUCGGCGAUCCACGGGGGGACAUGCUGUGUUCUUUGGUCCUAACUUGAUUGCCUGGCAAGCUCGCAAGCAAGCUACGGUGUCUCGAAGUAGUACCGAAGCUGAGUACAAAGCCGUUGCUAAUGCCACAGCUGAGAUCAUAUGGGUGCAGUCAUUGCUUCGAGAGUUGAAGGUCUCCCCAAGUCAGCCGCCUGUUCUUUGGUGUGAUAACAUUGGUGCCACAUACCUUUCAUCCAAUCCAGUGUUUCAUGCCAGAACAAAGCACAUCGAAGUUGACUAUCAUUUUGUGAGGGAACGUGUUGCUCAGAAGCUCCUUCAGAUUAAGUUUAUUUCUUCUAAGGAUCAGCUUGCUGAUAUUUUCACUAAACCCUUGCCCUUGCCUUCUUUCGAGGAUGUCGUAGCAAUCUUAACCUCCUGA
rnacentral:rRNA from 1 species